AAUGAACGUUGGCGGCGUGGAUUAGGCAUGCAAGUCGUGCGCGAACUGUAGCAAUACAGGGAGAGCGGCGAGAGGGAGAGUAAUACAUAGGUACCUACCCCCGGGCCUGGGAUAGCGGCGGGAAGCUGCCGGUAAUACCAGAUAACGUCCCCGGACCAAAGAUGUGACUUCACCUGGGGAGGGGCCUAUGGCCUAUCAGCUUGUUGGCAGGGUAACGGCCUACCAAGGCAAAGACGGGUAUGGGGCGUGAGAGCGUGCCCCCACUCACUGGGACUGGGACACUGCCCAGACACCGACGGGUGGCUGCAGUCGAGAAUCUUCGGCAAUGGGCGCAAGCCUGACCGAGCGACGCCGCGUGCGGGAUGAAGGCCUUCGGGUUGUAAACCGCUGUCGUAGGGGAGGAAGGGCCUGUGAAGAACAGGACUUGACCGAUCCUAGGAGGAAGGGCCGGCUAAUCUCGUGCCAGCCGCCGCCGUAA
rnacentral:rRNA from 1 species